AACAGCCGCGGUAAUUCCAGCCCCAAUAGCGUAUAUUAAAGUUGUUGCAGUUAAAAAGCUCGUAGUUGAAUUUCGGGAUCAAUAUGUCGGUCGUGCCUUCGGUACGUACUGGUAUCAUUGGUUUCUCCUUUCUGACGAACCAUGAUGUCAUUAAUUUGGUGUUAUGGGGAGUUAGGACUGUUACUUUGAAAAAUUAGAGUGUCUAAAGCAGGCUUUAGCUUGAAUACAUUAGCAUGGAAUAAUGAAAUAGGACGUUCGAACCUAUUUUGUUGGUUUCUAGGAUCAACGUAAUGAUUAAUAGGGAUAGUUGGGGGCAUUAGUAUUCAAUUGUCAGAGGUGAAAUUCUUGGAUUUAUUGAAGACUAACUACUGCGAAAGCAUUUGCCAAGGAUGUUUUCAUUAAUCAAGAACGAAAGUUAGGGGAUCGAAGACGAUCAGAUACCGUCGUAGUCUUAACCAUAAACUAUGCCGACUAGGGAUCGGAUGAUGUUAAUUUUUAAUGACUCAUUCGGCGCCUUACG
rnacentral:rRNA from 1 species